CCUACGGGGGGCAGCAGUGGGGAAUAUUGCGCAAUGGGCGAAAGCCGGACGCAGCGACGCCGCGUGAGGGAUGAAGGUCUUCGGAUCGUAAACCUCUGUCAGCAGGGAAGAACGGUCACUGUGCUAAUCAGCAGUGAAUUGACGGUACCUGCAAAGGAAGCACCGGCUAACUCCGUUCCAGCAGCCGCGGUAAUACGGAGGGUGCGAGCGUUAAUCGGAAUUACUGGGCGUAAAGCGCUCGUAGGCGGUAUGUCAAGUCAAGGGUGAAAUCCCCGCGCUCAACGUGGGAACUGCCUUUGAAACUGGCAAACUGGAGUGUGUGAGAGGAUAGUGGAAUUCCAGGUUUAGGAGUGACAUCCGUAGAUAUCUGGAGGAACAUCAGUGGCGAAGGCGACUAUCUGGCACAUAACUGACGCUGAGGAGCGAAAGCGUGGGUAGCAAACAGGAUUAGAUACCCGGGUAGUC
rnacentral:rRNA from 1 species